GAUGAACGCUGGCGGCGUGCCUAACACAUGCAAGUCGAACGAAGCACCUUACCUGAUUCUUCGGAUGAAAGUUUGGUGACUGAGUGGCGGACGGGUGAGUAACGCGUGGGUAACCUGCCCUGUACAGGGGGAUAACAGCUGGAAACGGCUGCUAAUACCGCAUAAGCGCACGAGGAGACAUCUCCUUGUGUGAAAAACUCCGGUGGUACAGGAUGGGCCCGCGUCUGAUUAGCUGGUUGGCAGGGUAACGGCUUACCAAGGCAACGAUCAGUAGCCGGUCUGAGAGGAUGAACGGCCACAUUGGAACUGAGACACGGUCCAAACUCCUACGGGAGGCAGCAGUGGGGAAUAUUGCACAAUGGGGGAAACCCUGAUGCAGCAACGCCGCGUGAGUGAAGAAGUAUUUCGGUAUGUAAAGCUCUAUCAGCAGGGAAGAUAAUGACGGUACCUGACUAAGAAGCUCCGGCUAAAUACGUG
rnacentral:rRNA from 1 species